rnacentral:rRNA from 1 species
CCUACGGGCGGCAGCAGUGGGGAAUAUCGCACAAUGGGCGCAAGCCUGAUGCAGCCAUGCCGCGUGUGUGAAGAAGGCCUUCGGGUUGUAAAGCACUUUCAGCGGGGAGGAAGGCGGUGAGGUUAAUAACCUCAUCGAUUGACGUUACCCGCAGAAGAAGCACCGGCUAACUCCGUGCCAGCAGCCGCGGUAAUACGGAGGGUGCAAGCGUUAAUCGGAAUUACUGGGCGUAAAGCGCACGCAGGCGGUCUGUCAAGUCGGAUGUGAAAUCCCCGGGCUCAACCUGGGAACUGCAUUCGAAACUGGCAGGCUAGAGUCUUGUAGAGGGGGGUAGAAUUCCAGGUGUAGCGGUGAAAUGCGUAGAGAUCUGGAGGAAUACCGGUGGCGAAGGCGGCCCCCUGGACAAAGACUGACGCUCAGGUGCGAAAGCGUGGGGAGCAAACAGGAUUAGAUACCCGGGUAGUC